AGUGGACGCUGGCGGUAGGCCUAACACAUGCAAGUCGAACGGCAGCACAGUAAGAGCUUGCUCUUACGGGUGGCGAGUGGCGGACGGGUGAGGAAUACAUCGGAAUCUACUUUUUCGUGGGGGAUAACGUAGGGAAACUUACGCUAAUACCGCAUACGACCUACGGGUGAAAGCAGGGGAUCUUCGGACCUUGCGCGAUUGAAUGAGCCGAUGUCGGAUUAGCUAGUUGGCGGGGUAAAGGCCCACCAAGGCGACGAUCCGUAGCUGGUCUGAGAGGAUGAGAAGCAACAAUGGAAGUGAGACAAGGGACAGACGCAGACGGGAGGCAGCAGUGGGGAAUAUGGGACAAGGGGCGCAGGAAGGAAAAAGCCAUACCGAGGGAGUGAAGAAGGCCUUCGGAUUGGAAAGCUCUUUUGUUGGGAAAGAAAAGAAGAAGGUUAAUAACCCGCUGUUCUGAAGGUACCGAAAGAAUAAGCACAGGAUAACUUCGUG
rnacentral:rRNA from 1 species